rnacentral:rRNA from 1 species
AUGCAGGUGGCGGGUCGUCCGGGGGCCAGCCGGACUGAUGGAGUUGCUGAACUAAAGCGGCAACUCGCUGUUGCGGAUGCGGACAUCACGCUGGUCAACAGGCGACUUGAUGAGUCGCAACAUAGUGCCGCUGCUGUGGAGAGCCUUUGGGCCGAACUUGCUCAAGCCAAGGAGCAGGCCAGAAGGAGUAAUGCGGCAGCCUCGAGGGCGGCCGAGGAGUUAGCGGCCGAAAGGGCCGCACACUGCCGGAGCAGGGAAGAGAUGGCCGAAAUGGCCGUGAAGUUAAAAGAUGCUACCGACCGCAAUGAGGCUCUUGGGAAGGAGCGCCUAGCGGGGCAAGAAGACCUGGAGAAGGCCACCUCCGAAGCCAAGGAUGCCCGCUCUGCAAUGCGGGCUAUAAAGGAAGAGCUGCGCGAGGCCGGAGAUAUUGUAGCUGGCAAGCCUUUUCUGCUGCGCCGAAGGUUUACGGAUUCAAAGUAUGCUCAGCUGGGCCAACUGUGGGGUCCAGAGGACCCUUAUAUGGACUUAGCAGCGAGUGCGGCGUAUGCCGUUGUGCAUUUUCAAAGCCAGAAGGAUCACAAGACGGAAGAGCUGUUUUGGUCUCAAUUCCAUAGUCUGGAGCAUUCACUUCCGCUGACCGACCGUUUGGCCGAGCGGGCUGAGCUAAAUAGGUUGUCCGGGCUUGCUAUGACGGAUAUAGUGACCCAUGUCCGGCCGGAUAGGCCCGAGCCGAAGAGUUACUUUGGCUUAUUGCAGCAAUUUCUUGGGGCGGUGCCGCAUAUCAAGGCGAUGAAGCGGUCGGCCUGCAUAGAGGGUGCGCGGAUGGCACUCGCCCGUGUGAAGACACAUUGGACAGAGAUGGAUGCCACCGCUGUUGCGACCCCGGGUUCGAACGAUAACGGGUUACUCGCCGAGUACUAUUUUGGUGAAGUGCUGCGUGGUGCUCGUGUAAUAGAGUCGCAGUGCUCAAAAAAUGUUACGUUCGAAUGA